GGUUCAGGAUGAACGCUAGCGACAGGCCUAACACAUGCAAGUCGAGGGGCAGCGCGGGAGAAGCUUGCUUUCCUGGCGGCGACCGGCGCACGGGUGCGUAACAGGUGUGCAAUCUGUCCAUAGUCGGGGGAUAGCCCAGCGAAAGCUGAAUUAAUACUCCAUGUGAAUCGAAGCCGCAUGACUUUGAUUUGAAACGCAAGGACUAUGGGUGAGCACGCUUCUGAUUAGCUAGUUGGUGGGGUAACGGCUCACCAAGGCGACGAUCAGUAGGGUUCUGAGAGGAAGGUCCCCCACAUUGGAACUGAGACACGGUCCAAACUCCUACGGGAGGCAGCAGUGAGGAAUAUUGGUCAAUGGGCGAGAGCCUGAACCAGCCAAGUCGCGUGAAGGAUGAAGGUUCUAUGGAUUGUAAACUUCUUUUGUCCGAGGGUAAAAAAGGCCACGUGUGGCUUCUUGCAAGUAUCGGACGAAUAAGCAUCGGCUAACUCCGUGCCAGCCGCCGC
rnacentral:rRNA from 1 species